rnacentral:rRNA from 1 species
GACGUAGGGGGCCAGCGUUGCUCGGAAUUACUGGGCGUAAAGGGUUCGUAGGCGGUGUGGUAAGUCGGAAGUGAAAUCUCUGGGCUUAACUCAGAGGCUGCUUUCGAAACUGCCGCGCUAGAGUGCGGGAGAGGCGAGUGGAAUUACAGGUGUAGCGGUGAAAUGCGUAGAUAUCUGCAGGAACACCCGUGGCGAAAGCGGCGCGCUGGACCACUACUGACGCUGAGGAACGAAAGCUAGGGGAGCAAACAGG